UCACCUCUCAAGCUCGGCUUGGUGUUGGACCCCCUUAGGCCCGGGCUUCGCCCCCGGCCGGUCCCAAAAGUAAUGACGGCGUCGCGUGGACUCUCGGUGCAACGAGCUUUUUUACAAAGGCACGCAACGAGUUGAAAGGCCCCGUGGCACGGUCCCAACCUACAAACUUCUUCAA
rnacentral:misc_RNA from 1 species